AUUGAACGCUGGCGGCAGGCCUAACACAUGCAAGUCGAGCGGAUGAAGGGAGCUUGCUCCUGGAUUCAGCGGCGGACGGGUGAGUAAUGCCUAGGAAUCUGCCUGGUAGUGGGGGAUAACGUCCGGAAACGGGCGCUAAUACCGCAUACGUCCUGAGGGAGAAGGUGGGGGAGCUUCGGACCUCACGCUCUCAGAUGAGCCUAGGUCGGAUUAGCUAGUUGGUGGGGUAAAGGCCUACCAAGCCGACGAUCCGUAACUGGUCUGAGAGGAUGAUCAGUCACACUGGAACUGAGACACGGUCCAGACUCCUACGGGAGGCAGCAGUGGGGAAUAGUGGACAAUGGGCGAAAGCCUGAUCCAGCCAUGCCGAGUGUGUGAAGAAGGUCUUCGGAUUGUAAAGCACUUUAAGUUGGAAGGAAGGGCAGUAAGUUAAUACCUUGCUGUUUUGACGUUACCAACAGAAUAAGCACCGGCUAACUUCGUG
rnacentral:rRNA from 1 species